CCAACCAGUCCCUUUGGGUUCGAUAAAAUUGGAACGAAACAGAGAAAAUUAGCAUGGCCCCUGCGCAAUAAUGAUACGCACAAAAAAAAAAAAAAGGCUAUUCAG
rnacentral:snRNA from 1 species